rnacentral:rRNA from 1 species
AGCAUAUCAAUAAGCGGAGGAAAAGAAACUAACAAGGAUUCCCCUAGUAACGGCGAGUGAAGCGGGAAGAGCUCAAAUUUAAAAUCUGGCAGUGUAUUCUGUCCGAGUUGUAGUCUAGAGAAGCAUCAUCCGUGCUGGACCAUGUACAAGUCUCUUGGAACAGAGCGUCAUAGAGGGUGAGAAUCCCGUCCUUGACAUGGACUCCCAGUACUUUGUGUUGUGCUCUCAACGAGUCGAGUUGUUUGGGAAUGCAGCUCAAAAUGGGUGGUAAAUUCCAUCUAAAGCUAAAUAUUGGCGAGAGACCGAUAGCGAACAAGUACCGUGAGGGAAAGAUGAAAAGCACUUUGGAGAGAGAGUUAAACAGUACGUGAAAUUGUUGAAAUGGAAACGCUUGAAGUCAGUCGCGUUCUCUGGGAUUCAGCCUUGCUUUUGCUUGGUGCAUUUCCUAGUCUACGGGCCAGCAUGAGUUUUGACCAAUGGAAAAAGGCUUGGGGAAUGUGGCACCUUCGGGUGUGUUAUAGCCCCUUGUCACAUACAUUGGUUGGGAUUGAGGUCUUAGUGCACGCUUCGGUUGUGCUUUGAUGCUGGCGUAAUGGCUUUAAACGACCCGUCUUGAAACACGGACCAAGGAGUCUAACAUGUCUGCGAGUGUUUGGGUGCAAAACCCGAGCGCGUAAUGAAAGUGAUAGUUGGGAACCUCUUCAGAGGGGCACCGACGCCCGGACCAGACCUUCUGUGACGGAUCCGAGGUAGAGCAUAUAUGUUGGGACCCGAAAGAUGGUGAACUAUGCCUGCAUAGGGUGAAGCCAGAGGAAACUCUGGUGGAGGCUCGUAGCGAUUCUGACGUGCAAAUCGAUCGUCAAAUGUGGGUAUAGGGGCGAAAGACUAAUCGAACCAU